CAAUCAAUCAAUCAAUCAAUGUGAGGCAGUUCAAGAAACCAGAGCCUAACGUUGCCGUCACAUUUGCAAAUUUCACCUAGGGCAUUUAGAAAACGGCUGUUGCAAUGUUGCUGCUGCUGAACACCAGCUCACUGACCUCAAUUCUCUUAGGAGAGAAAAGAGCAGAUCAAAUAGAAAAUACUUAAAAUGAAAAUUUGUUGCCUUGCAGAUGGGGAAUCAGUGGAGGUAGCUGGCAACUGUACAGCCUGAGAUCCACCAAAUUAAUUUUUAUGCUGCUGCUCUGUGAAUUCAAGGCCAGGAGGCAUCUCACCUCCAUCUGUUCUGACUCAUGCAACUCCACAUGAUCCCUGAAGGCUAUAUUUUGAAUGUGUACAUCUUGGGUACUCAUGUCACUGAAAAGAUACCACCACACAGAGAAGCAGCAGCCAAGAAGUAUCAGCUUGCUCGUCUGCACAGACAUAUUGAUUCUGAGUCAAAGACUGUAAGGACAAACAUAUUACCUGCAGUACUUGUCACAGUCCAGUGCUUCAAAAGACAUCAAUAAAGGGCUUGGCACCUCAAAACAAAGAGAAUUAGAUGUUAUAUAAUAUUAUGUGAAAAUACCCAACUGGAUGAAGGGACCUUGAAUCAUGCUGGCACAUAGUGGUUUGGAAAAGCCUGAACUACACUCUAUAGGGGCUUCAGCUAAAGCUGCAAAUCACAGUCCUGCCUGCCUGCCUGCCUGCCUGCCUGGGCACCUCAUCUCCACCCUAAUGGACUACCUGUCUCCUGCAAAAAGAGGAAGGAAAGGAAACAAACAAUAGCAGACAAUGCUUUGCUCAUCAGCAGCAGUAAAGGAGUGCAUCCUGCCAAUUGCACUGUGCAAGCAGGACUCACCGUUCAUGCCAGGGAGAUGAAGUGCUUUCUACAUGAAACCCUGAAACGAUCUGAAAUGCUCACUCCUGGAAGGGAACAAGUCAGAGGACGCUCCCAUGUGUGAACUUUACUGACACGCCUGCUUCAAGAAAUGAACAUUCCUGCUUGUUUUGGGUUGUGCCAGAAGUGCCAAAUUAACAUUGCACAAGUGGCGGAAGCUGCUAGUGCAAAACAAUCCAUGGGGUUGCAAGUGCCCCAUUGGAAUCUGCCCUCUGAUUUUACCUCAGGAAUUGUUUGCCUUGCUUUUGAUUGUGAGCUUUUGUUGUUGUUUCAACAGGACACUGCUCUCAUGGACUCAAGCCUGAAAAUGUACAUUUGUCUUAUCCCCCAAACAUGAAGAAAUACCACUUUACAGACUUAGAAUUAACUCCUUCACCUAAUCAGCUUUGCAAUUAGAUGCUUCAGCAUGUAGAGAGGUGAGGAGGAGAUAAAAUGCCCCUCUGCUGAGAGACAAGAGUUUUAUUUGUUUAUUUAGUAAGCUUC